rnacentral:rRNA from 1 species
GUGGGGAAUAUUGCACAAUGGGGGAAACCCUGAUGCAGCGACGCCGCGUGAGUGAGGAAGUAUUUCGGUAUGUAAAGCUCUAUCAGCAGGGAAGAAAAUGACGGUACCUGACUAAGAAGCCCCGGCUAACUACGUGCCAGCAGCCGCGGUAAUACGUAGGGGGCAAGCGUUAUCCGGAUUUACUGGGUGUAAAGGGAGCGUAGACGGAUAGGUAAGUCUGAUGUGAAAAUCCGGGGCCCAACCCCGGAACUGCAUUGGAAACUAUUUAUCUAGAGUGUCGGAGAGGCAAGUGGAAUUCCUAGUGUAGCGGUGAAAUGCGUAGAUAUUAGGAGGAACACCAGUGGCGAAGGCGGCUUGCUGGACGAUGACUGACGUUGAGGCUCGAAAGCGUGGGGAGCAAACAGGA